UUCAAAUAACAGAGACUGUGA
rnacentral:piRNA from 1 species